CAACCCUCGAACCCCUCCGGGGGGUCGGCGUUGGGGAUCGGCCCUUUACGGGGCCGGCCCCGAAAUACAGUGGCGGUCUCGCCGCAGCCUCUCCUGCGCAGUAGUUUGCACACUCGCAUCGGGAGCGCGGCGCGUCCAUUGCCGUAAAACACCCAACUUUCUGAAAUG
rnacentral:misc_RNA from 1 species